GAUGAACGCUAGCGGCAGGCUUAACACAUGCAAGUCGAGGGGUAGAGGCUUUCGGGCCUUGAGACCGGCGCACGGGUGCGUAACGCGUAUGCAAUCUGCCUUGUACUGGGGGAUAGCCCAGAGAAAUUUGGAUUAAUACCCCAUAGUAUUUUCGGUUGGCAUCAACUGAUUAUUAAAGUUUUUCGGUAUAAGAUGAGCAUGCGUCCCAUUAGCUAGUUGGUAUGUAAACGUCAUACCAAGGCCACGAUGGGUAGGGGUCCUGAGAGGGAGAUGCCCCACACGGGUACUGAGACACGGACCAGACUCCUACGGGAGGCAGCAGUGAGGAAGAUUGGUCAAUGGUCGCAAGACUGAACCAGCCAUGCCGCGUGCAGGAUGAAGCAUCUAUGGUGUGUAAACUGCUUUUGUACGGGAAGAAACACUGCUACGUGUAGCAGCUUGACGGUACCGUAAGAAUAAGGAUCGGCUAACUCCGUGCCAGCAGCCGCCGUAACAC
rnacentral:rRNA from 1 species